rnacentral:rRNA from 1 species
UACGAAGGGUGCAAGCGUUGCUCGGAAUUAUUGGGCGUAAAGGGUAGGUAGGUGGUGAUAAAAGUCUGGAGUGAAAUCCCUGAGCUUAACUCAGGACGUGCUUUGGAAACUUUAUCACUAGAGUACUAGAGAGGUUCGUGGAAUUCCUGGUGUAGCGGUGAAAUGCGUAGAGAUCAGGAGGAACAUCAGCGGCGAAGGCGGCGAACUGGAUAGUAACUGACACUCAACUACGAAAGCGUGGGGAGCAAACAGG